CGUUAUGGUGGGCCGUGCGCGGGAGGGCUUCGGCCCUGCCGGGUUUCCUUUUGCCCCGGUCGACCAACCUGCGUACGGUCCGCCUCCUCU
rnacentral:antisense_RNA from 1 species